rnacentral:rRNA from 1 species
GAUGAACGCUAGCGGCAGGCUUAACACAUGCAAGUCGAGGGGUAUAGUAGCAAUACUAGAGACCGGCGCACGGGUGCGUAACGCGUAUGCAAUCUACCUUUUACAGAGGGAUAGCCCAGAGAAAUUUGGAUUAAUACCUCAUAGCAUUGCGAAAUGGCAUCAUUUUGCAAUUAAAGUCACAACGGUAAAAGAUGAGCAUGCGUCCCAUUAGCUAGUUGGUAAGGUAACGGCUUACCAAGGCAACGAUGGGUAGGGGUCCUGAGAGGGAGAUCCCCCACACUGGUACUGAGACACGGACCAGACUCCUACGGGAGGCAGCAGUGAGGAAUAUUGGACAAUGGGCGCAAGCCUGAUCCAGCCAUGCCGCGUGCAGGAUGACGGUCCUAUGGAUUGUAAACUGCUUUUGUUACGAGAAGAAACACUCCGACGUGUCGGAGCUUGACGAUAUCGUAAGAAUAAGGAUCGGCUAACU